AGUGAACGCUGGCGGCGUGCUUAACACAUGCAAGUCGAACGAGAACGGAAUAUAGCUUGCUAUAUUUGUCAGCUAAGUGGCGCACGGGUGAGUAAUGUAUAGAUAACCUGCCCUUAAGAAAGGAAUAACAGUUGGAAACGGCUGCUAAUGCCCUAUAUGCCUUUAAUACAUAAGUAUGCAAGGGAAACGCUUUAGUGCUUAAGGAUGGGUCUGUAUGGUAUCAGCUUGUUGGUGAGGUAAUGGCUCACCAAGGCUAUGACGCCUAACUGGUUUGAGAGGAUGAUCAGUCACACUGGAACUGAGACACGGUCCAGACUCCUACGGGAGGCAGCAGUGGGGAAUAUUGCACGAUGGACGAAAGUCUGAUGCAGCAACGCCGCGUGGAGGAUGACACAUUUCGGUGCGUAAACUCCUUUUAUAUAGGAAGAUAAUGACGGUACUAUAUGAAUAAGCACCGGCUAACUCCGUGCCAGCCGCCGCUGUAA
rnacentral:rRNA from 1 species